rnacentral:rRNA from 1 species
ACGGGGCGCAAGGCGCGAAAACUUUACAAUGCUGGCAACAGCGAUAAGGGAACCUCGAGUGCCAGGUUACAAAUCUGGCUGUCGAGAUGCCUAAAAAGCAUUUCAUAGCAAGGGCCGGGCAAGACCGGUGCCAGCCGCCGCGGUAACACCGGCGGCUCGAGUGGUAACCGUUAUUAUUGGGUCUAAAGGGUCUGUAGCCGGCCGGAUAAGUCUCUUGAGAAAUCUGGCAGCUUAACUGUCAGGCUUUCAGGAGAUACUGUCUGGCUCGAGGCCGGGAGAGGUGAGAGGUACUUCAGGGGUAGGGGUGAAAUCUUGUAAUCCUUGAAGGACCACCAGUGGCGAAGGCGUCUCACCAGAACGGACCUGACGGCAAGGGACGAAAGCUAGGGGCACGAACCGGAUUAGAUACCCGGGUAGUCCUAGCCGUAAACGAUACUCGCUAGGUGUCGGCCACGGUGCGACCGUUGUCGGUGCCGUAGGGAAGCCGUGAAGCGAGCCACCUGGGAAGUACGGCCGCAAGGCUGAAACUUAAAGGAAUUGGCGGGGGAGCACCACAACGGGUGGAGCUUGCGGUUUAAUUGGAUUCAACGCCGGAAAUCUUACCGGGACCGACAGCAAUAUGAAGGCCAGGCUGAAGACUUUGCCGGAUUAGCUGAGAGGUGGUGCAUGGCCGUCGUCAGUUCGUACUGUGAAGCAUCCUGUUAAGUCAGGCAACGAGCGAGACCCACGCCCACAGUUGCCAGCGUACUCUCCGGAGUGACGGGUACACUGUGGGGACCGCCGCUGCUAAAGCGGAGGAAGGAAUGGGCAACGGUAGGUCAGUAUGCCCCGAAUAUCCCGGGCUACACGCGAGCUACAAUGGUUGGUACAAUGGGUAUCUACCCCGAAAGGGGACGGAAAUCUCCUAAAACCAAUCUUAGUUCGGAUUGAGGGCUGCAACUCGCCCUCAUGAAGCUGGAAUCCGUAGUAAUCGCGUUUCAACAGAACGCGGUGAAUACGUCCCUGCUCCUUGUACACACCGCCCGUCA